rnacentral:rRNA from 1 species
GGUGAACGCUGGCGGCGUGCCUAAUACAUGCAAGUCGAGCGAACAGACGAGGAGCUUGCUCCUCUGACGUUAGCGGCGGACGGGUGAGUAACACGUGGAUAACCUACCUAUAAGACUGGGAUAACUUCGGGAAACCGGAGCUAAUACCGGAUAAUAUAUUGAACCGCAUGGUUCAAUAGUGAAAGACGGUUUUGCUGUCACUUAUAGAUGGAUCCGCGCCGCAUUAGUUAGUUGGUAAGGUAACGGCUUACCAAGGCAACGAUGCGUAGCCGACCUGAGAGGGUGAUCGGCCACACUGGAACUGAGACACGGUCCAGACUCCUACGGGAGGCAGCAGUAGGGAAUCUUCCGCAAUGGGCGAAAGCCUGACGGAGCAACGCCGCGUGAGUGAUGAAGGUCUUCGGAUCGUAAAACUCUGUUAUUAGGGAAGAACAAAUGUGUAAGUAACUAUGCACGUCUUGACGGUACCUAAUCAGAAAGCCACGGCUAACUACGUG